AUGACCAUUGUAAUCAACAAAUCAAUGUUUAGCAAUUUUCUUGUUCACUGGAGAUUACCGAACUUCCUUGCUUGUUGGUUGUUCGAAGUAACCCAGAAAGAUUUCUUGCUUGUCGAUGUGCUUCAGUUACUCCUGAUCUGCUUGGAUUCAGUACUUCAGUUACUCAUGAUCUUCCAACAAAAAAUCGAAAAGUUGCUCAUGAUCUUCCAGGGCCAAACGCUGUCAAAACAAAGCAGCCUUUUCCAGUUGUUUGCACUGAAUCUGAAUUCUGAAACAGCUGGGAUUCGAACGCUUGUUUCAGUACUCAUGGCUAUUUAUUUAUUUUUGCAAAAGAAAAUAAAUACUAGUGGGUGUUUCUGA
rnacentral:rRNA from 1 species